UACAGAGGGUGCGAGCGUUGUCCGGAAUCACUGGGCGUAAAGGGCGCGUAGGCGGUCGCGUAAGCGUGUGGUGAAAGCCCGGGGCUCAACCCCGGGUCGGCCAUGCGAACUGCGGGACUGGAGCAGAUCAGAGGCAGGCGGAAUUCCGGGUGUAGCGGUGGAAUGCGUAGAGAUCCGGAAGAACACCGGUGGCGAAGGCGGCCUGCUGGGAUCUUGCUGACGCUGAAGCGCGACAGCGUGGGGAGCAAACAGG
rnacentral:rRNA from 2 species